rnacentral:rRNA from 1 species
CUGCGAUAAGCGCCGGUAAGGUGAUAUGAACCGUUAUAACCGGCGAUACCCGAAUGGGGAAACCCAGUGUGACUCGUCACACUAUCAUUAACUGAAUCCAUAGGUUAAUGAGGCGAACCGGGGGAACUGAAACAUCUAAGUACCCCGAGGAAAAGAAAUCAACCGAGAUUCCCCCAGUAGCGGCGAGCGAACGGGGAGGAGCCCAGAGCCUGAAUCAGCAUGUGUGUUAGUGGAAGCGUCUGGAAAGGCGCGCGAUACAGGGUGACAGCCCCGUACACAAAAGCGCAUGUGCUGUGAGCUCGAUGAGUAGGGCGGGACACGUGGUAUCCUGUCUGAAUAUGGGGGGACCAUCCUCCAAGGCUAAAUACUCCUGACUGACCGAUAGUGAACCAGUACCGUGAGGGAAAGGCGAAAAGAACCCCGGCGAGGGGAGUGAAAAAGAACCUGAAACCGUGUACGUACAAGCAGUGGGAGCACCCUUUGGGUGUGACUGCGUACCUUUUGUAUAAUGGGUCAGCGACUUAUAUUCUGUAGCAAGGUUAACCGAAUAGGGGAGCCGGAGGGAAACCGAGUCUUAACCGGGCGUUAAGUUGCAGGGUAUAGACCCGAAACCCGGUGAUCUAGCCAUGGGCAGGUUGAAGGUUGGGUAACACUAACUGGAGGACCGAACCGACUAAUGUUGAAAAAUUAGCGGAUGACCUGUGGCUGGGGGUGAAAGGCCAAUCAAACCGGGAGAUAGCUGGUUCUCCCCGAAAGCUAUUUAGGUAGCGCCUCGUGAAUUCAUCUCCGGGGGUAGAGCACUGUUUCGGCUAGGGGGCCAUCCCGGCUUACCAACCCGAUGCAAACUGCGAAUACCGGAGAAUGUUAUCACGGGAGACACACGGCGGGUGCUAACGUCCGUCGUGAAGAGGGAAACAACCCAGACCGCCAGCUAAGGUCCCAAAGUCAUGGUUAAGUGGGAAACGAUGUGGGAAGGCCCAGACAGCCAGGAUGUUGGCUUAGAAGCAGCCAUCAUUUAAAGAAAGCGUAAUAGCUCACUGGUCGAGUCGGCCUGCGCGGAAGAUGUAACGGGGCUAAACCAUG